rnacentral:tRNA from 1 species
AUUUUAAUAGCUUAAAUUUUAAGAGUUUUAUAUUGAAGAUAUAAAGGUGAUAUUUUUCUUAAAAUA